GGCGAAGUCACUGAUACCACGCUUCCAGGAAAAGCUCCUAAGCUUCAGCUUACGCAGACCGUACCGUAAACCGACACAGGUGGGUAGGAUGAGAAUUCUCAGGCGCUUGAGAGAACUCGGGUGAAGGAACUAGGCAACAUGGCACCGUAACUUCGGGAGAAGGUGCACCCUUUUUGGUGGCUCGUGCGAGCUAUAGCUGAAGAGGGUCGCAGUAACCAGGCCGCUGCGACUGUUUAUCAAAAACACAGCACUCUGCAAACACGAAAGUGGACGUAUAGGGUGUGACGCCUGCCCGGUGCUGGAAGGUUAAUUGAUGGGGUCAGCCGCAAGGCGAAGCUCUUGAUCGAAGCCCCAGUAAACGGCGGCCGUAACUAUAACGGUCCUAAGGUAGCGAAAUUCCUUGUCGGGUAAGUUCCGACCUGCACGAAUGGCGUAACGACAGCGGCGCUGUCUCCACCCGAGACUCAGUGAAAUUGAAAUCGCUGUGAAGAUGCAGCGUUCCCGUGGCAAGACGGAAAGACCCCGUGAACCUUUACUAUAGCUUUACACUGAACGUUGAGUUCGUCUGUGUAGGAUAGGUGGGAGGCUAUGAAACUGUGGCGCUAGCUGCAGCGGAGCCAUCCUUGAAAUACCACCCUGUCGUGCUUGACGUUCUAACCUGGGCCCA
rnacentral:rRNA from 1 species